GACCUCUGAGCUCCAGAUUGGGACAGAGGGAAUCAGCAUAAUUUUUUGUGGUGCAUUUACUUGAUUGGUGCUUGGGGAUGUUUGAGGCAGAUUUGUUUCCGUCGUUUUGAGGCCAGCUUGCUGGUACCCAAACGGUGUUAGCAUUUUUUGUCUUGGGCAUUUGAGUAUGGCUCACGGGUAUUUAUUGGACAGAUCUGAGUGUAAGUUACGGUCGCAUGCGACACGUGCUUUUCAAUUAGUUCGGUCCAGUUAAUGCUCUCGUACUCGUUCCCCAUGUAAAAGCCGGUCAUCUAUCCGACCCGUCUUGAAACACGGACCAAGGAGUUUAUCGUGUGCGCAAGUUUUUGGGUGUUAAAAACUUAAAAGCGAAAUGAAAGUAAAUGACUCUUUAGAGUCUGAUGUGCGAUCUUGUAAAAAAGUGUAGCAUGGCCCCAUUCUAACUGUUUACAGUAGGGUGGCGGAAGAGCGUACGCGGUGAGACCCGAAAGAUGGUGAACUAUUCCUGAGCAGGACGAAGCCAGAGGAAACUCUGGUGGAAGUCCGAAGCGGUUCUGACGUGCAAAUCGAUCGUCUGAC
rnacentral:rRNA from 1 species